rnacentral:rRNA from 1 species
CCUGAACGCUGGCGGCGUGGCUAAGACAUGCAAGUCGAACGGGUGUAGCAAUACACCAGUGGCGGACGGGUCAGUAAUGAAUCGCUAAUGUACCCCGGAGCCAGGGAUAGCUACCCGAAAGGGUAGGUAAUACCUGAUGAGACCACGGCAUCGCAUGAUGCAGUGCUCAAAGCCGCAAGGCACUCUGGGAGCAGGCGAUUUUGUAUCAGCUUGUGGUGAGGUAACGGCUCACCAAGGCGACGACGCAUAGCCGGACUGAGAGGUUGGCCGGCGACAUUGGGACUGAGACACUGCCCAGACUCCUACGGGGGCUGCAGUAACGAAUCUUCCGCAAUGCACGAAAGUGUGACGGAGCGACGCCGCGUGUAGG